ensembl:lncRNA
UUUCCCGUUUUUAUCUGGAAGCAGGAAACCAUUUCAUGCCCUGACUUGUGUCAGCGUUACAGCGACACCGUUUCGGAGGCCCCUCCUUUCACAUCAUAGAUUUGUGACGCUGUGAAGGUAAGCUUAACCUCAGUCACAACAGCGUCAGAUCUCAGAGGUGCAGUGGCGAUUCUCUCUUUUCGGCUCAUCACUGGUAAUUCAAACACAGUUUACACUGCAUUGAUGUUUGUUUGUGAAACUAUACUGUAAAUCUCUAUAGCACAAGAAUUACUGAUAAAUGUCAAAACUUCACUUUAGCUCUAAACUGUAGCCUGCAUUUUCCUGCAUUAAUGGCAGAACAUCUGUGGAGCAUCACAAACUGCAGGAAUCACAAAAUGAGCAGCAAAGAGAACGAGAGUCAGUCUACUGAAGCAGGAGAGAAACAGAGCAAGAGUCAAGUCAGACGGAGCAGCUUUAAUGAAGACACACCAAACUUUCUAGCUUCGGAUUCAGACAGACCUGCAGAGAUUCAUUCUGAUGAUUCAAAGAGAGACGCUCACAGACAAGGUGAAAUAAAUACAGUAAUGAAUAGAGUUCAAACUGUGUAGAACUGAUGUAGAAAUCUGUUAUUUUUUACAGUUCUGGUCUGGAGUAUCUUUUUAGAAAGCAGCAAACUGAAUAAUGUUCUUAAGAAGUGUAAUUGAGUAUUUAAUGUAAUAAAAAUAAUAAUCUAAUUGUACAGUACUGUAAAAAUACAAUACUAAUAGUAAUGUCUUAAUUUCUCCAUUUUCAGAAGAUAAAUCAUCAAAAGUGUAUUUGAUUUAACACAGUUCUCGUAUUAAAUGAUGCACUUCAAAUGUGGUGUAGUUUCUGGAUUAUGCUCACAGAAGGUGGUGGUAAUGUGCAAUAGUUUGUGUGAUCUGCCAGAAAAAAAAAAUGAAGAUAAUGACGAAAGAUGAAGGUGAUGAAGUAAAAAAGAAGAUGAUGAUGAUUUGUAUUUUCAAUAUGUAUAUCAUGUAAUUAAUGGAUUUGUUUUUGUUUCUGAAACUAUAUAUAUACAGUAUAUAUAUAUAUAUAUAUAUAAUUAAUCCCUGUCCAGCUGUUCCUGUUUAGUUCCCUCAUUUACCUUGUGUGUAUUUAUACUCCAUAUUCUGUUCUGUCCUUUGUCGGUUAUUAUUUAGUGUUAUGUGUUGUACUAGCCCUGUGUUCUCAGUAAAGUCUUGUUUGUAUGAAUCCACGUCUGUAUUCUUCAUUCCUCUACAACCCGUGACAAAAUACAUCUUUGCACACUUUAGAAGAACUGUUUUUUUCACCUUGGGGAAUAAGUCAGAAUUUUUGUUCUCUGUCACUUGACCGACCGGUAUAUCCUAACAUUGUGUUAGGGCAAGAGAAAAAGAAAAAAAA